rnacentral:rRNA from 1 species
GACAGAGGGUGCAAACGUUGUUCGGAUUUACUGGGCGUAAAGCGCGUGUAGGCGGCUUUGCAAGUCGGAUGUGAAAGCCCACGGCUCAACCGUGGAAGUGCAUCCGAAACUGCAUGGCUCGAGUCUCGGAGAGGAAGGUGGAAUGCUUGGUGUAGAGGUGAAAUUCGUAGAUAUCAAGCAGAACACCUGCGGCGGAGGCGGCCUUCUGGACGAUGACUGACGCUGAGACGCGAAAGCGUGGGGAGCAAACAGG